rnacentral:tRNA from 2 species
GCGCCCGUAGCUCAGUUGGAUAGAGCAUCGGCUUGCGGAGCCGAGGGUCGUACGUUCGAGUCGUACCGGGCGCGCCA